GCCCCUAGAAACACUGUAGGUAUGGCUGCUGUGUCAAAUGUGCAGAGAGGAGGAGAAAGGCUAUGUCUAAGCUCAAUGUUCUGACCUGUGAACACCUGAAUGAUUAGUAGUCUAACAUU
rnacentral:snoRNA from 1 species